rnacentral:rRNA from 1 species
CUGAUCCAGCCAUACCGCGUGGGUGAAGAAGGCCUUCGGGUUGUAAAGCCCUUUUGUUGGGAAAGAAAAGCAAUCGAUUAAUACCCGGUUGUUCUGACGGUACCCAAAGAAUAAGCACCGGCUAACUUCGUGCCAGCAGCCGCGGUAAUACGAAGGGUGCAAGCGUUACUCGGAAUUACUGGGCGUAAAGCGUGCGUAGGUGGUUGUUUAAGUCUGUUGUGAAAGCCCUGGGCUCAACCUGGGAAUUGCAGUGGAUACUGGGCAACUAGAGUGUGGUAGAGGGUAGUGGAAUUCCCGGUGUAGCAGUGAAAUGCGUAGAGAUCGGGAGGAACAUCCAUGGCGAAGGCAGCUACCUGGACCAACACUGACACUGAGGCACGAAAGCGUGGGGAGCAAACAGGAUUAGAUACCCUGGUAGUCCACGCCCUAAACGAUGCGAACUGGAUGUUGGGUGCAAUUUGGCACGCAGUAUCGAAGCUAACGCGUUAAGUUCGCCGCCUGGGGAGUACGGUCGCAAGACUGAAACUCAAAGGAAUUGACGGGGGCCCGCACAAGCGGUGGAGUAUGUGGUUUAAUUCGAUGCAACGCGAAGAACCUUACCUGGUCUUGACAUGUCGAGAACUUUCCA